GUGGACUUCAUUCUCAAGAAAAGAAGAAGCAAACGGCAACUUUUAAUCUUGGUCCCAACGUAUCGCCCACAGCCCUCCACGUCUCCCGCACCAGCCUUUUAUUGCCAGCGCCAUCCCUAUCCCCUCCAAACCCCCGCUCACAUCCAUCCCUAUCGCCGCCGGCGCCUCAACCCACGCCGCCCUCGCUCCCUCCCCUCCCCCUCACGCUCAACGUCCGAUGGCGGCCAUGAAGGUGGUGCGGAACCUGGACCUGGAGCGGUACAUGGGCCGGUGGUACGAGAUCGCGUGCUUCCCGUCCCGGUUCCAGCCCAAGGACGGCGCCAACACGCGCGCCACCUACACGCUCGGCCCCGACGGCGCCGUCAGGGUGCUGAACGAGACCUGGACCGACGGCCGCCGGGGCCACAUCGAGGGCACCGCCUUCCGCGCCGACGACGCCGGCGACGAGGCCAAGCUCAGGGUCAGGUUCUACGUGCCCCCCUUCCUCCCCGUCUUCCCCGUCACCGGCGACUACUGGGUGCUCCACGUCGACGACGCCUACCAGGUCGCGCUCGUCGGCCAGCCCUCCCGGAACUACCUCUGGAUCUUGUGCAGGCAGCCGCAGAUGGACGAGGGCGUGUACGAGGAGCUGGUGGAGAGGGCCAAGGGGGAAGGGUACGACGUGAGCAAGCUCCGGAGGACGCCGCACCCGGAGCCGACGCCGGAGAGCCAGGACGCCCCCAAGGACGGCGGCCUGUGGUGGAUCAAAUCCCUCUUUGGAAAGUAAUAGGCGCUCCUUCUGCCAAAGCAGCAGAGAUGCAGUAGCACCAGCUGGUGUGGCUUGUACAGUUCAAUCUAGUAGUAUGUUCGUCGGUGCAGGGAAUCUGAAGAAUAUGUUUUUGCUUGUUUGUGGCGUAGGUACAUGUUCUGCAGAAUAAUCUGUUUGCCGGGUAAGGUCUGGCUGUGUUCUUACCUUAAGACUGUUGCUUGCUCGGAUUCAGAAAUCAGAAUAGCGCAUGCUCGCUCGGCUUCGGGCUGAUGCUUUGGUUUGGUGUGAUGGAUCCUGG
rnacentral:rRNA from 1 species